UGAUGGCGUGCCUAUUGAAGAAUGAGCCGACGAGUUGAUCUAUGUGGCUUGGUUAAGCAACUCAGUUGUGAAGCCGGAGCGAAAGCGAGUCCGAAUAGGGCGAGGCCCCGAUUUAAUCGGGGCAGGUCGCAUGGAUCAGACCCGAAACUGAGUGAUCUACCCAUGGUCAGAGUGAAGCUCAAGUAAAAUUGAGUGGAGGCUCGAACUUGUGAAUCAGGCAAAAUUCUAGGAUGAGCUGUGGGUAGUGCAGGUGAAAUGCCAAACGAACUCAGAAAUAGCUGGUACUCCCCGAAAUGCAUUUAGGUGCAGCCUCAGGAGGUAAUUUGCGGAGGUAGAGCUCUGGAUGAGCCAGGGGCCGUGAGGUUACCGAACUCAACCAAACUGCGAAUGCUGUAAAUGUAAUCCUGGGAGUGAGACUGUGGGGGCUAAGCUCCAUAGUCGAAAGGGAAAUAGCCCAGACCAUCAGCUAAGGUCCUUAAAUGCAGGCUAAGUGGGAAAGGAAGUUGUAUUGCAAAAACAGCCAGGAGGUUGGCUCAGAAGCAGCCAUCCUUUAAAGAGUGCGUAACAGCUCACUGGUCGAGUGAUACUGCACCGACAAUUUAACGGGGCUUAAGUCUGCUACCGAAGCUAUGGCUCCGAUAAUAUCGGAGGGUAGGGGAGCGUUGUCAUGGCUGCGAAGCUGUGGCGUAAGCCACGGUGGAGCAAUGACAAGUGAGUAUGUCGGUAUGAGUAGCGUAAAGGCAUGUGAAAAUCAUGCCCACCGUAAACCUAAGGUUUCCUACGCAACGUUUAUCGGCGUAGGGUUAGUCAGGCCUAAGCUGGACCCUAAUGGGGUAAGCGAUGGACAGUAGGUUAAUAUUCCUACACCGCUCAACUUUUGUUACGGCAAAGGGGGGACACAGGAAGGUAGGUUGAGCAUGCCUAAUGGACAUGGCGUGUUUCCGACUCAAGGUAUAUCAGGGCAGGGAAAUCCACUCUGAUGUUAAGCUGAGGGGAGGGAGAAUUUGAGGGGCAACCUGAGAAAACUCAACCGAGCCUAGACUGUCGAGAAAAGCCUCGUUGCUAAAAAGCUGAGCGCCUGUACUGCAAACCGCCACUGGUAGGUGGGGAUAAAUGUCCCAAGGUGUUCGAGAGAACCCUCGUUAAGGAACUCGGCAAUCUAACCCCGUAACUUCGGGAGAAGGGGGCCCACCUUUAAUAAGGUGGGGACACAAAAUUGGCCCAGGCGACUGUUUAACAAAAACACAGGUCUCUGCUAAAGCGAAAAAGCUGAAAUAUAGAGGCUGAUACCUGCCCAGCGCCAGAAGGUUAAGGAGAGAGGUUAGGAUGGUAACAUUCAAAGCUUUGAACCGAAGCCCUGGUAAGCGGCGGCCGUAACUAUAACGGUCCUAAGGUAGCGAAGUCCCUUGUCGGGUAAGUUCCGACCUGCACGAAUGGUCUAACGACCUGGGCGCUGUCUCAACGGGGGACUCGGUGAAAUUGAAUUGGGGGUGAAGAUGCCCUCUACCCGCGACAGGACAAAAAGACCCUAGCAGCUUUACUAUAGCUUGGCAUUGAGCUUAGGCUAGGCAUGUGUAGGAUAGGUGGGAGGCUACGAAACUGGGGCGUCAGCCUCAGUGGAGCCAACGGUGAAAUACCACUCUUGUCUGGUUUUGGUUCUAACCCCGAUUAUUAUCGGGGGACACUGUCUGGUGGGUAGUUUGACUGGGGCGGUUGCCUCCUAAAAGGUAACGGAGGCGUCCAAAGGUUCCCUCAGCACGAAUGGAAACCGUGUAUAGAGUGCAUUGGCAUAAGGGAGCUUGACUGUGAGACUCACAAGUCGAUCAGGGACGAAAGUCGGGCAAAGUGAUCCUACGGUUCCGUAUGGAAGGGCCGUGGCUUAACGGAUAAAAGCUACGCUAGGGAUAACAGGCUUAUCUUGCCCAAGAGUUCACAUCGACGGCAAGGUUUGGCACCUCGAUGUCGGCUCGUCGCAUCCUGGGGCUGGAGAAGGUCCCAAGGGUUGGGCUGUUCGCCCAUUAAAGCGGCACGCGAGCUGGGUUCAGACCGUCGUGAGACAGGUCGGUCUCUAUCCGUCGUGGGCGUCGGAGAUUUGAGGGGAGCUCUCCUUAGUACGAGAGGAUUAGGAGGGACAGACCUCUGGUGUGCCAGUUGUUCCGCCAGGAGCAGUGCUGGGUAGCUAUGUCUGGCUGGGAUAAGCGCUGAAAGCAUCUAAGUGCGAAGCCCACCCCAAGAUUAGAUCUCCCAUCCUUCUUCGGAAGGAGUAAGGCCGCAAGUAGACUACUUGCUUGAUAGGCGGCAUGUGUAAGCGGAGUAAUCCGUUUAGCUUAGCCGUACUAAUGGCCGAGGCCUUGACUUA
rnacentral:rRNA from 1 species